rnacentral:rRNA from 2 species
GCCCUAGUAACGGCGAGCGAAGCGGCAACAGCUCAAAUUUGAAAUCUGGCUAUUUUGUAGUCCGAGUUGUAAUUUGUAGAGGAUGCUUUUGGUGAGGUGCCUUCCGAGUUCCCUGGAACGGGACGCCAGAGAGGGUGAGAGCCCCGUACGGUUGGAUACCAAACCUUUGUAUAGCUCCUUCGACGAGUCGAGUAGUUUGGGAAUGCUGCUCUAAAUGGGAGGUAUAUCUCUUCUAAAGCUAAAUAUAGGCUAGAGACCGAUAGCGCACAAGUAGAGUGAUCGAAAGAUGAAAAGCACUUUGAAAAGAGAGUUAAACAGCACGUGAAAUUGUUGAAAGGGAAGCGCCUAUGACCAGACUUGUUUCUUUCAGUUUUGUUAGUUUUCGGACUGAUUUACUCUGUUAGUACAGGCCAGCAUCAGUUUGUUGUCAGGGAGAAAGGCUUAGGGAAUGUGGCUCUUUCGGGAGUGUUAUAGCCCUUUGCAUAAUACCUUUCGGCAGACUGAGGACCGCGCUUCGGCAAGGAUGCUGGCGUAAUGGUCAUCAGCGACCCGUCUUGAAACACGGACCAAGGAGUCAACCUUAUGUGCGAGUGUUUGGGUGUAAAACCCCAGCGCGUAAUGAACGUGAACGUAGGUGAGAGCUUCGGCGCAUCAUCGACCGAUUCUGAUGUUCUCGGAUGGAUUUGAGUAAGAGCACACAGGGUUGGACCCGAAAGAAGGUGAACUAUGCUUGUAUAGGGUGAAGCCAGAGGAAACUCUGGUGGAGGCUCGCAGCGGUUCUGACGUGCAAAUCGAUCGUCAAAUAUGAGCA